rnacentral:rRNA from 1 species
AUGAACGCUGGCGGCGUGCCUAAUACAUGCAAGUCGAGCGAACAGACGAGGAGCUUGCUCCUCUGACGUUAGCGGCGGACGGGUGAGUAACACGUGGAUAACCUACCUAUAAGACUGGGAUAACUUCGGGAAACCGGAGCUAAUACCGGAUAAUAUAUUGAACCGCAUGGUUCAAUAGUGAAAGACGGUUUUGCUGUCACUUAUAGAUGGAUCCGCGCCGCAUUAGCUAGUUGGUAAGGUAACGGCUUACCAAGGCAACGAUGCGUAGCCGACCUGAGAGGGUGAUCGGCCACACUGGAACUGAGACACGGUCCAGACCCCUACGGGAGGCAGCAGUAGGGAAUCUUCCGCAAUGGGCGAAAGCUUGACGGAGCAACGCCGCGUGAGUGAUGAAGGUCUUCGGAUCGUAAAACUCUGUUAUUAGGGAAGAACAAAUGUGUAAGUAACUAUGCACGUCUUGACGGUACCUAAUCAGAAAGCCACGGCUAACUACGUG